UCUGGAUACUCUGGAGAGUCUCCGUAUGGAGCGCCGAAGGUGUAAGACCGGUUCAUGUCCAUGGUACCGGUCGAUCUCUCAGGCAAAAGGACAGGGCAUACAAA
rfam:Clostridiales sp. SS3/4 draft genome.